rnacentral:rRNA from 1 species
GCACUUGUUAUUGAAGUAUACGUUUUAUACGACCGUACCGCAAACCGACACUGGUGCGCGAGAUGAGUAUUCUAAGGCGCUUGAGAGAACUCAGGAGAAGGAACUCGGCAAAUUGACACCGUAACUUCGGAAGAAGGUGUGCCCUAUUAGUGUGUAGUGAACAACGAAGCAUGAAUGGGUUGCAAAAAAUCGGUGGCUGCGACUGUUUAUUAAAAACACAGCACUCUGCAAACACGAAAGUGGACGUAUAGGGUGUGACGCCUGCCCGGUGCUGGAAGAUUAAAUGAUGGGGUGCAAGCUCUUGAUUGAAGUCCCAGUAAACGGCGGCCGUAACAUAUACGGUCCUAAGGUAGCGAAAUUCCUUGUCGGGUAAGUUCCGACCUGCACGAAUGGCGUAACGAUGGCCACACUGUCUCCUCCUGAGACUCAGCGAAGUUGAAAUGUUUGUGAUGAUGCAAUCUCCCCGCGGAAAGACGGAAAGACCCCAUGAACCUUUACUGUAGCUUUGUAUUGGACUUUGAACAGAUCUGUGUAGGAUAGGUGGGAGGCUUUGAAGCAGGGUCGCUAGAUCUUGUGGAGCCAACGUUGAAAUACCACCCUGGUGUGUUUGAGGUUCUAACCUAGGUCCAUUAUCUGGAUCGGGGACAGUGCAUGGUAGGCAGUUUGACUGGGGCGGUCUCCUCCCAAAGCGUAACGGAGGAGUUCGAAGGUACGCUAGUUACGGUCGGACAUCGUGACGAUAGUGCAAUGGCAUAAGCGUGCUUAACUGCGAGACUGACAAGUCGAGCAGAUGCGAAAGCAGGACAUAGUGAUCCGGUGGUUCUGUAUGGAAGGGCCAUCGCUCAACGGAUAAAAGGUACUCUGGGGAUAACAGGCUGAUACCGCCCAAGAGUUCAUAUCGACGGCGGUGUUUGGCACCUCGAUGUCGGCUCAUCUCAUCCUGGGGCUGUAGCCGGUCCCAAGGGUAUGGCUGUUCGCCAUUUAAAGAGGUACGUGAGCUGGGUUUAAAACGUCGUGAGACAGUUUGGUCCCUAUCUUCCGUGGGCGCUGCAGAUUUGAGGAAGCCUGCUCCUAGUACGAGAGGACCGGAGUGGACACACCUCUGGUGUAUCGGUUGUCACGCCAGUGGCAUUGCCGAGUAGCUAAGUGUGGAAGAGAUAACCGCUGAAAGCAUCUAAGCGGGAAACUCGUUUCAAGAUGAGAUCUGCCGGGGCCUUGAGCCCCCUAAAGAGUCGUUCAAGACCAGGACGUUGAUAGGUCAGGUGUGGAAGCGAAAAAAAAAUAU